rnacentral:rRNA from 1 species
GACGAACGCUGGCGGCGUGCUUAACAUACGCAAGUCGAACGGAAAGGGCCCCCUUUGGGGUACUCGAGUGGUGAACGGGUGAGUAACACGUGAGUAACCUACCCUUUACUGUGGGAUAACUUCAGGAAACUGGGGCUAAUACCGGAUAGGAGCUCAUGCUGCACGGUGGGGGUUGGACAACUUCGGCGGCUGGGGCUGGACUCGCGGCUUAUGCGUUGGUUGGUAGGGUAGUGGCUUACGAAGACAUUGACGGGUAGCCGGCCUGAGAAGGUGACCGCCCACAUUAGUACAGUGAUACGGCCCAGACUCGAACGAGAGGCAGCAGUAGAGAAUGUUGCACAGUAGGCGGAGGCCUGAUGCAGCGACGCCGCGUGCGGGAUGACGGCCUUCGUGUUGUAAACCGCAUUAGCCUGUAACGGAGCGGGAGUGACGUUAGUAAGUAAAGAAGCACCGGCUAACUACGUG